UUGUGGAGCAUUAAGCAGCUAAAGCGGCAGAUAUUUUUCUCAGGAUGUUGGUGGAAAUCAAAAACUUAACUAAAAGAAGAUUAUUGGAUUCAUCAGAUGGCCAAAAGCAGGACACAUAUAUCUGCUGAAUGUGUAAAUAAGAUCUGUCUUUGGAGGCCAAACCAGGAAGAGGUGAUGUCAUGAUGGCUAUCACUUACAAUGCUCCAGCCAGCUCCAGAUGUACAGACCCCCUUCUCUCCUGAGGCAAUAUCGAAAUACCUUUGGCAAGAAGAUCCUGCAAAACACUGCGCUGCUGAAAACUGUGACCCUGACAUUCUUCAGCUUAUCUGCUCACUCCAAUGAUGAUCUAUCACAAGAUGUCCAAUCCACUGUAAAACAUGCAAGGGGAAUUAAAUCUUUUAUUAGGUGCAAAAGUUUAUUCUUGACCUUGUUAUUUGACAAAAAAGACGAGGUGAGGUUGAAAGCUCAGAGGAAUAAUGCUAGCAUGUCAAUCUUGGGUUAAGAGAAUUAAUCAACCUUUUGUGACUC